AACGUGCCCCUCGGUUCGGGAUAACUCAGGGAAACUUGAGCUAACACCGGAUACGCCCUUCGGGGGAAAGGUUACGCCGAUGGAGCGGCCCGCGCCUGAUUAGCUAGUUGGUGGGGUAAUGGCCCACCAAGGCUACGAUCAGUAGCUGGUCUGAGAGGAUGAUCAGCCACACUGGGACUGAGACACGGCCCAGACUCCUACGGGAGGCAGCAGUGGGGAAUCUUGCGCAAUGGGGGAAACCCUGACGCAGCCAUGCCGCGUGAAUGAUGAAGGUCUUAGGAUUGUAAAAUUCUUUCAGCGGGGAAGAUAAUGACGGUACCCGCAGAAGAAGCCCCGGCUAACUUCGUGCCAGCAGCCGCGGUAAUACGAAGGGGGCUAGCGUUGCUCGGAUUUACUGGGCGUAAAGGGCGCGUAGGCGGACGAUCAAGUUGGGGGUGAAAUCCCGGGGCUUAACCUCGGAACUGCCUCCAAAACUGAUAGUCUAAAGUUUGGGAGAGGUGUGUGGAACUCCGAGUGUAGAGGUGAAAUUCGUAGAUAUUCGGAAGAACACCAGUGGCGAAGGCGACACACUGGCCCAAUACUGACGCUGAGGCGCGAAAGCGUGGGGAGCAAACAGGAUUAGAUACCCCUGGUAGUCCACGCCGUAAAACGAUGAGUGCUAGUUGUCGGCCUGCAUGCA
rnacentral:rRNA from 1 species